rnacentral:rRNA from 1 species
GAUGAACGCUGGCGGCGUGCCUAAUACAUGCAAGUCGAGCGAACAGACGAGGAGCUUGCUCCUCUGACGUUAGCGGCGGACGGGUGAGUAACACGUGGAUAACCUACCUAUAAGACUGGGAUAACUUCGGGAAACCGGAGCUAAUACCGGAUAAUAUAUUGAACCGCAUGGUUCAAUAGUGAAAGACGGUUUUGCUGUCACUUAUAGAUGGAUCCGCGCCGCAUUAGAUAGUUGGUAAGGUAACGGCUUACCAAGGCAACGAUGCGUAGCCGACCUGAGAGGGUGAUCGGCCACACUGGAACUGAGACACGGUCCAGACUCCUACGGGAGGCAGCAGUAGGGAAUCUUCCGCAAUGGGCGAAAGACUGACGGAGCAACGCCGCGUGAGUGAUGAAAGUCUUCGGAUCGUAAAACUCUGUUAUUAGGGAAGAACAAAUGUGUAAGUAACUAUGCACGUCUUGACGGUACCUAAUCAGAAAACCACGGCUAACUACGUG